UCUAUUGCUUUUCCAGGUAUUUCAGCAGUUAGAAGUAAACUAUUGCUGGAAAUUCCAAGAAUUUCCGUCACUAAUAUACAGACUAAAAGUUUACUUACUUUUAUUUAUUGCUUUUACUGUGCGUCACACCACUUAUAAAUGCUCCUAGGACUUUGCCUAGUAAGCGGUACAGAGGGUACGAAGGUUAAGGAUGUCUGGAGCAAUAGCUUUUACCCAGUGAUUUUGUAGUAACUGUUUCCCAAGUGCACGGUAGCAGUGGUUAACAGCUAAAAUCAGGAAACCCAGAACCUGCAACAUGUCAGCCUUAAGCUAAGGGUUUGAUACAUUCUUCCAUGUAUCAUCCAUGAUUCAUUCUUCCAUGUAUCUCCACGUAAAAAUCUGGACAGAAGGGAAGAGAGAUGAGUCUCUUCCUGCAUAUGUACUGGAGGCAAAGGAUCAACUGAAACACAUCCUGCUUGACUCUAAACUUCCCUUGAGGGUCCAAAAUUUUGGAUGUGCCAUCAUUCAGGAUUUCGUCAAGGGUUCUUUGUAGCUACCAACAAAGUGCCGGUAAAAGCAAGUCAGUUUAGCGAUGUGAGGUGAGAAGGAGAGUUGGUUGCCCAUGUUUACCCCAAGGGUAAUGCAGUGACAGACUGUGAGAUCAGAGAGUUGUUCAGGGAGAUCACAAGAUCUCGACAUGGAGAUACAGCUCCAGGGGUGUACAGCAGCUCAGUUUUGCUGGGAUUUUCAGUUCAUGAGCUGCCAUCCAUGACAAGAUAUCUGCUAGACAUGCUGAGAUGUGUCUGAGAGAGGAUCAGUUGAGUGUUAUUAGCAUAGCAGUGGUAUGAAAACCCAUUUGAGGAUGUGACUUCACCAAGAGAGUGAGCAUAGAGGGAGAACAGAGAAAGAUCCAUCACUGAGCCUUGUGGGAAACCAGUGGAGAGUCUGCAUCGGGCACAUGUGGAUCCCACACCAUGUCACCUGAUAUGACCGUCCCUCCAGGUAAGAUACAAACCUUUGCCAUACUCUGUCACAAAUUCCAAGACUCAUGAGGAUGGACAAGAGAGUCUUUUGAUGGCUGCUGAAACUUCACAGUAAUGACCAAAAGAGCAAAAGAUAAAGACAAGAUCAUUGCAUAUAUUAUUAAAAGUUUGCUUACAUAAACAGAGACAGUUGACCAAUGAGCACUGUUAAAAUCAACUUGAUGAAGUGAUUUUGAGCAUUUACAUUCCUGUCUCUCAUUAGCUACAUUACAUUCAGCCUAAUAAUCCGUCAUUAAUCUGAGUGAUCGAUCAUAAUAGAUCCUGUAUACACUUCAUUGGAAUACAGUAAAUGAGGCCAACCCUCAUGAAAUAGAAGAAUAACAGCCAAGUAAAUUUUUGUGCCUUUGUGAUUACUUUCACUAAUGGAAUCAGUGUGUGUUAUGCAAGUGUUUGAAUCACGAUGCGCUCCUGGUGUAACAAAGCAUUCCUGUAAGGAAACACAGUUCAUGUUACAGAUUUGAAUCUACUUAAAAUAAUUGUGAGGUUAGAUUAGCAUCAAACUAACAUUUUGAGAUGCAGGAUGUGAAGUGACCUCAGUAAAUUCGGCCCAACAAUAUUCAUUGAGGAUGCAGAACUUAACCAUGGGAAAAAGGAGGGAAAACGUUGAUAAAACCUUCCUUUCUUGUGCAGUUAUUCCCAAACAGUGGCUUUUAAUGUUGGUAACCUUAGAACAUGAGUAAAGGUGUUAGAUAGAUGGACACUGUCUGUAUUUAUGUUAUUUUCACCAACCAGAGCACACACAAACUUUAUUUGGUCAUAAACCCUUCUUCUUGCUAUUUGUGUAAUAAUCAAACUUUGAUGACCGCAAGUUUGGUUCCUGCUGCAGUACAAGCAGAAAGCACCAAUUUUGACCCCCUUGAAGUUACUUAUGGUGCUGAUGUGGGACCAUUCUGGCUCACUUUAGCCCCUGGAUACAGGUAAAGAGCUUUAGUUAAUGUUCACCAAACAUCAGAAUGGAUAAAAAAAACGUGAUCUAAGUGACUUUACCAGAUAGGCUGGUUUGAGCAUUUUGGAAACUGCUGAUCUCUUUUGGGAGAUUCAUGCACAACAGUCCCUAGAGUUUACACAGAAUGGUGUGAAAAACAAACAAACAAAAAAAACCCCAUCUAGUAAGUAGCAGUUCUGCAGGUGGAAAUGCCUUGUUGACAGAGGUCAGAAGAGAAUGUGCAGACUGGUUGAAGCUGACAGGAGAAGGCUACAGGAACUCAAAUAACCACUUUUUAUAACUGUGGUGAGCAUAAAAGAAUACACAUCACAGUGAACCUUGAGGCAGAUGGGCUACAACAGUAGAAGAUCACAUUGGGUUCCACACCAAAGCUACAGUGGGCACAGGUUCACCACUAGUCUUUUACUAGUCUUUUCCAUUUAUAAUUAAGAAAUUGUUUAUGGUAUGAGAACUGUGAUGAAUAAUAAGGAAAAAAAUCGCAUCAACCAUAAGAAUGAGGAAAAAAUGUGAUCUCAGUGAUUUUUGAUCAUGGCAUGAUUGCUGGUGCCAGAUGGGCUGGUUUGAGUAUUUCUAUAACUGCUGAUCUCCUGGGAUUUUACUCAGAAUGGUGAAAUAAAGAAAAACGUCCAGUGAGCGGCAGUUCUGCGGACAGACAUGCCUUGCUGAUGAGCGAGGUCAACGGAGAAUGGGCAGAUGGAUUCAAGCUGACAGAACGGCUACAGUAAUUCAGAUAACCACUCUGUACAAUCGUGGUGAGCAGAAAAGCAUCUCAGAAUGCACAAUACAUCGAGCCUUGAAGUGGAUGGCAGAAGACCACAUUGGGUUCCACUCCUGUCAGCCAAGAAUAGAAAACUGAGCCUGCAGUGGGCACAGGCUCACCAAAACUGUGGCCUCUAAUGGAGCUACCCAGAGACCCUGUAUCAAAGUACUUAAAAUACAAAGCAACUGAGUUUCUCAAGUUUUUAAGAAAGGCUUCAGCAAAAUGUCUAGGCAAAAUAGAUUAAAACUUCAUCCUUAAAGCAUGUUCUUUUCUAUGUGUAUUAUUCUAGCACUAAUUGUAAAUCUGCUUUCAGCUCAUGUAAAACAUAUGUGUCAAUAAUUAUAAAAGCACUAAUAAUUAUAAAAGCACUUUAUUAAUCUUUAUCCUCUUAAAAAAUUCUGUUUCUCUAUAUCCGAAUGCACAACAAAUUCACAUUAUAAAACUGUGUAUAUGGCAGGUUUCUGAUUUAAAAAUAUGUCUCAGUUGUAGAGAUCUUAACCACACCAGUCUUCAUCAUUGUGUCUACACUGCUGUAAUUGCCUCGCAGAUCAUUAUAUUGUAUGGUGUUUUUAAUACCUUUGGACACUGUAAUAAAUCAGUUGAAUGAAGCCCUCAUUACCGGCAUCACUCCUUUUUAUAGUUUGAUAGGUAGCAGUAAAAAAUGAUCUAACAGCUCUCUAGAUAAUAUUCUGAGAUUAGAUGGGAUUAGAAAGGCAGAAAAAACAAGAUUAACUAGGAUUUAUCUGAAGCACAUAUGACAAAAUUUUGCUUAACCCGAUUAACCCUGGAAAAAAAUGAACCCUUUGCCUUACCUCCCACAUCAGUCAUGCUGCCUUAAGUGCCCAGUCAUGUAUACUGUUUACAAAAAUUGUACAGA